rnacentral:lncRNA from 12 species
CUUCAAUCUAUAUACAUUUUUAAUAAAACAUUUUGAGUCAUUUAAAAUAUAUGUGGGUACAUACAUUUUCAAAAUUAUUUUAAAAGAUAUUCAAACAAAAAGGUUUCAGAUGUUUAAAACCCUGAGUAACAUGACUUCCCCAAAAAAUCUGUUCACAGACCAACCAAGUCAUUUGUCCGAGGAAGCCACACAAUUUGAAGAUGAUUGAUUCCUUGGAUUGAUCCUCUUAUUUUAGCCAUCUUCUUCACUAAAGAUUAUGAGGAUGUCUUGGUCUGAUUGAAGCCACAAAAAUCAAGUAAGUGACAGGAUACUUCGAUUUAGAAAUUUUUUUCUAAAAUUUAGAAAUUUUCUUCUACUGUAUCAUCAUAAAGCAUAAAAGUAUUUUUUCAUGUCUUUUCCAGAAAAUAACAAUUUUUGCUCAGGAAAGAUGUAUAUGAUACAUUUUUUCACAUCCCUGCUAACACUAAGCAUUAUGUGAUUGACACACAACUGUGAAAAAUCACAAUUAGUGAUUUUUCAAAUGCAAUUGUAGAUUUAAUUUGCAUUUCCAUGACUCAUAGAGUAGUUGAGCACCUCC